AUUGAACGCUGGCGGCAGGCCUAACACAUGCAAGUCGAGCGAGCGGCGGACGGGUGAGUAAUGUAUGGGGACUGCCCGAUAGAGGGGGAUAACUACUGGAAACGGUGGCUAAUACCGCAUACUAUCGGAUAACCCAUAUGGGAUUAGCUAGUAGGCGGGGUAAAGGCUCACCUAGGCGACGAACUCUAGCUGGUCUGAGAGGAUGAUGAACCACACUGGGACUGAACCACGGCCCAGACGCCAACGGAGGCAGCAGUGGAGAAUAUUACUCAAUGAACGCAAUCCUAAUGCAGCCGUGCCGCGUAUAAGAAGAAGGCCUUAGGUUUGUAAAGUACUUUCAGCGGGGAGGCGUUACCCGCAGAAGAAGCACCGGCUAACUCCGUGCCAGCCGCCGCGGUGAUAC
rnacentral:rRNA from 1 species